UUCAGGUGUCAGUGGAGCUGGUUGCGGGACUCCGACGGUACGAUUAGUGUAGACUAGUUAGACGGGUAUAUUAUCUAGUUAAAGAACGUUUCAGUCAAUAGAAGAUUAGCGGCAUUAACAAUGUCACACGGUCUGUUUUGGAGACGAAACUCGUCGUCGUAGGCUAUUAAUAACUCUGGUGUUGACACCAGUAAGUUAACUGCCUGGAGCCUUUAUCUCUGCGCCCGGUGACCAGAAGGCGCUCCCGUUGAAACACCCGUGCCUCGCCGACAAACGGAAACCCGACAUAGUCUGAAUUCGGGUAAGUUUUUUAGACACGUUCUUCACGUCUUCAAAAUAGACCAUGGGCACGGGGAUAUCCUUUUUCACAUGUAUGCUGUGCACCCGCACAGGACAGCUGUGCCUGCUACCUCGCGCUUGGCUGUGGCAACACCGGUCAUGCAUAGCUGUUAGUAUUAAUAAUAAGCGCAAAGUUGACGACGACUCCAUUCAUCGCUAUCAAUUAACAUGAAUGCACAUUCACAUGCACAUUCACAUGUAUUCACAUGCACAUUCACAUGUUUCCGAUUAUGUCGCGUAGGGGACUGCACCUAACUUAGGGUACGUUUCGAAUGUUUGUGUAGUUGUUUUUCCAUGGGCUGUAAAAUGUUAAAGUUAUGUUUUGGGAUUGUUGCAUGAAGGAGGCAGUCAAAGUGUACAUUUUCACACGGGCGCGGCCAAUCCAGAAGAUGAUACAAGUUGCCAGUGAAUUCAAAGAGCAGUCUAACUUACUGAAAAUAUGAUAUCUAGUCAGUUUAGGUUUUUUUAUUUGUUUAUUUGAUUGAGUUAUCAACCAUCAUUAAUUGGUAGCGCUAACUGAAAGAAUGCAUGUGGUUUAGGCAUUGAACCUCCUCUUGAAUCUUAUAACCUUUUAGACUGUUUGGUUAAGUGUGUAUUUUAUAAGCAAUUCCUUUUUGCUGCUUUGAAUUAGUGUGUUUGUGUCUAGAGUUAGUCUCAAGAAUAUGCAUCUGCCUCUUCCUUCACUGUGAACAGUCCCAUACUCCCACAAAAGAUGGGCUCAAAAGGAUCCAGUGUGUAGAUUCUUCCAAAACAACCCUCUUGUAACUUCUGACAUUCCCUGAAUCCUCACUGUAUAUGUACAUCAAGUAUGUGAGAGGCCGAUCCAGAGGGCAGGCAGCAUCACUUCCCAGACAACACACCCCAUUGUUCCCAGCGCCCACCCUUCCAC
ensembl:lncRNA